AUGGGUUUAACAAGGUUUAGGGGAGAAUAUAGGCUGAAUAGGCACUCUUUGAGAUCCAGAUUGUGUUCGUCAGUAGAGUGGCGAUAUGCGAGUCGCCAAAUUAAGCAUGCAUGCAAGCGAAGAAUCAGUCCACAGACGCGAGUUAUACCUUCUACUGUCUGGAGUUUACUCUAUCAACGCGUGGCAGCCUUUAUGGUGGAAGCAUUCACCUUUGAUGUGCAAAAGGUUGAGAAGCAGGCUUGGUUUGGAAACUGCUCUACAAUGUCCAAUGGGUGGCUCAAGAAGGGAGACAUUUGGAUGUCCUCAGUCUCCUGACGUCUGGUCACUUCAACACAAUGUGUCAUUGGUGCGUACAGUGAGGUUGUCCACCUCUGGGUCUUCAUCUGUUGCAAAAGAUUUCCUCAUUUGGCUGGUUUGGAAGGACCGAGUGUCAGCAUUACAGGAAAGGCACAGAUGGCUGAAAGCUGGUUAAUGACACAAGUGUCUAUAUGCAUUAAUCAGUGUCAUAGUUGAAUAGGGCAUAUACAUACUCAAUCCAACACACACACACGUGUGAGCACAACAGAUAAACAGGAUAUCUGACAAGGAAGAGCAGAAGGGGUUUUACUUAAUUUCUUUACCAGAGGCAGAUGAAAUACAACACAAGUACCAGAGUUUAGUUAAACAUGAACGUUUCUGAGUGUCUAUGGAAAAGUGCAAAACCAAACUAACUGGCUAUGUAGGUCUAUGUAGGACACAUGCUGAAUAAAUUCUUGAAACUGCGAAUAAUAAGUAGGGAUAAUGUAGAGCAAGGCGGUUGUUAUAGCGAAUACAACCCCGACAGGCUGAUCAGGAGGAAGCGGAGGGGUCUUGAAUCAGCCUGAAGGGGUUGUAUUCACUAUAACAACUGCCUCGCUCUACAUUAUCCCGCUUAUUACAUGGCUACCUACCAAAUAAAUAAAUAAUUUGACACAAAAUAUUGAUUUAAAAAGGAGUUUAUUGAUUUAAAAACGAUUGUAUAGCUUCUGCUAAAGAAAAUAGUCUGUUCCGUCUCUACGGUUAGAAUCCUGCGUGUCCAUGGCAACGUUCUGCUUUGCAUGGCAACGGUGUGUUAUCCUUAGAGUAAAUUUUAUAUAGGUUUAUUACAAGCCAUGUAAUAAACCUAUAUAAAAUGUACUCUAUAUUACAAGUGACAAAACAUUUUUAUAGGAAUAGUGCAACCAAAAUGGAAAUUCGUUCAUUAUUUACUUCCCAUGUCACUCCAAACAUGUAUGCCUCUGUUUCAUGGAACACAACACAGUGAGAAGAUCGACAAAGCCCUUAAGACCACCAUAGAGUAAAAGCUGUAAUAAUUUAUCAGUUAAUUAUUAUAAUUUUUUUUUUUUAUUAAUUACUUUUAAUAUCUAAAUAAUUGCCAAGUGAAAUCAACAUUACAGUGUCAUGCAACAUUUAAUGCUGUAACAAAACUUUCUGUUCCAUUUGUUCCUGUUUUAAUAAAACUUUUAAAGCCUGUUGUGUAGUUGUAUUGUCAU